rnacentral:rRNA from 1 species
AGGCGUAAGAGCUCGUAGGCGGUUUGUCGCGUCUGCUGUGAAAGACCGGGGCUCAACUCCGGUUCUGCAGUGGGUACGGGCAGACUAGAGUGCAGUAGGGGAGACUGGAAUUCCUGGUGUAGCGGUGAAAUGCGCAGAUAUCAGGAGGAACACCGAUGGCGAAGGCAGGUCUCUGGGCUGUAACUGACGCUGAGGAGCGAAAGCAUGGGGAGCGAACAGGAUUAGAUACCCUGGUAGUCCAUGCCGUAAACGUUGGGCACUAGGUGUGGGGGACAUUCCACGUUUUCCGCGCCGUAGCUAACGCAUUAAGUGCCCCGCCUGGGGAGUACGGCCGCAAGGCUAAAACUCAAAGGAAUUGACGGGGGCCCGCACAAGCGGCGGAGCAUGCGGAUUAAUUCGAUGCAACGCGAAGAACCUUACCAAGGCUUGACAUGAACCGGUAAUACCUGGAAACAGGUGCCCCGCUUGCGGUCGGUUUACAGGUGGUGCAUGGUUGUCGUCAGCUCGUGUCGUGAGAUGUUGGGUUAAGUCCCGCAACGAGCGCAACCCUCGUUCUAUGUUGCCAGCGCGUUAUGGCGGGGACUCAUAGGAGACUGCCGGGGUCAACUCGGAGGAAGGUGGGGACGACGUCAAAUCAUCAUGCCCCUUAUGUCUUGGGCUUCACGCAUGCUACAAUGGCCGGUACAAAGGGUUGCGAUACUGUGAGGUGGAGCUAAUCCCAAAAAGCCGGUCUCAGUUCGGAUUGGGGGUCUGCAACUCGACCCCAUGAAGUCGGAGUCGCUAAUAAUCGCAGAUCAGCAACGCUGCGGUGAAUACGUUCCCGGGCCUUGUACACACCGCCCGUCAAGUCACGAAAGUGGUAACACCCGAAGCCGGUGGCUAACUCUUGUGGGGGAGCCGUCGAAAGUGGGACCGGCGAUUGGACUAAGUCGUACAAGUAGACCA